rnacentral:rRNA from 1 species
AGAGUUUGAUCCUGGCUCAGGAUGAACGCUGGCGGCGUGCCUAAGACAUGCAAGUCGAACGAAGCAUCGAUCUUGAAUCCCUUCGGGGUGAAGAGGUCGAUGACUUAGUGGCAACGGGUGAGUAACACGUGAGUGACCUACCCCGAAGUGCGGCAUAACAGGGGGAAACUCCUGCUAAUUCCGCAUGUGCUCCCACCUCCUGUGGUGUGAGUAAAGAUUCAUCGCUUCGGGAUGGGCUCGCGGUCCAUCAGCUAGUUGGUAGGGUAAUGGCCUACCAAGGCUACGACGGAUAGCCGGCCUGAGAGGGUGUNACGGCCACAGGGGCACUGAGACACGGGCCCCACUCCNUACGGGAGGCAGCAGUUAGGAAUCUUCGGCAAUGGGCGAAAGCCUGACCGAGCGACGCCGCGUGGAGGAUGAAGGCCUUCGGGUCGUAAACUCC